rnacentral:rRNA from 1 species
CCUACGGGAGGCAGCAGUGGGGAAUAUUGGACAAUGGGCGAAAGCCUGAUCCAGCAAUGCCGCGUGAGUGAUGAAGGCCUUAGGGUUGUAAAGCUCUUUUACCAGGGAUGAUAAUGACAGUACCUGGAGAAUAAGCUCCGGCUAACUCCGUGCCAGCAGCCGCGGUAAUACGGAGGGAGCUAGCGUUGUUCGGAAUUACUGGGCGUAAAGCGUACGUAGGCGGUUAUUCAAGUCAGAGGUGAAAGCCUGGAGCUCAACUCCAGAACUGCCUUUGAAACUAGAUAGCUAGAAUCUUGGAGAGGUGAGUGGAAUUCCGAGUGUAGAGGUGAAAUUCGUAGAUAUUCGGAAGAACACCAGUGGCGAAGGCGACUCACUGGACAAGUAUUGACGCUGAGGUACGAAAGCGUGGGGAGCAAACAGGAUUAGAUACCCUGGUAGUCCACGCCGUAAACGAUGAUAACUAGCUGUUCGGCUCUACGAGCUUGAGUGGCGCAGCUACGACAUUAAGUUAGUCCGUCCGUCGGGAGGUACGGUCGCGAGAUAAACUACAAAGAAGUUAGUAGNGUUGAGAGNGCGAGGACGACGACGAGGAGAGG